rnacentral:rRNA from 1 species
UACGUAGGGUGCAAGCGUUGUCCGGAAUUAUUGGGCGUAAAGAGCUUGUAGGCGGUUUGUCGCGUCGGCUGUGAAAGCCCGGAGCUCAACUCCGGGUCUGCAGUCGAUACGGGCAGACUUGAGUGUUGCAGGGGAGACUGGAAUUCCUGGUGUAGCGGUGAAAUGCGCAGAUAUCAGGAGGAACACCGGUGGCGAAGGCGGGUCUCUGGACAGUUCCUGACGCUGAGGCGCGAAGGCCAGGGGAGCAAACGGG